rnacentral:rRNA from 1 species
AAACCAGCACCUCAAGUGGUCAGGAUGAUUAUUGGGCCUAAAGCAUCCGUAGCCUGUUCUGUAAGUUUCCGGUUAAAUCCAUUAGCUCAACUAAUGGGCCGCCGAAAAUACUGCAAAACUAGGGAGUGGGAGAGGUAGACGGUACUCGGUAGGAAGGGGUAAAAUCCUUUGAUCUAUUGAUGACCACCUGUGGCGAAGGCGGUCUACCAGAACACGUUCGACGGUGAGGGAUGAAAGCUGGGGGAGCAAACCGGAUUAGAAACCCGAGUAGUCC